rnacentral:rRNA from 1 species
AAUACAUUAGCAUGGGAUAAUGGAAUAGGACCCUGUCCUCCUAUUUUCAGUUGGUUUUGGCAGCGCGAGGACUAGGGUAAUGAUUAAUAGGGAUAGUUGGGGGCAUUAAUAUUUAAUUGUCAGAGGUGAAAUUCUUGGAUUUAUGAAAGAUUAACUUCUGCGAAAGCAUCUGCCAAGGAUGUUUUCAUUAAUCAAGAACGAAAGUUAGGGGAUCGAAGACGAUCAGAUACCGUCGUAGUCUUAACCAUAAACGAUGCCGACCAGCGAUUAGGAGACGUUGAAUACAAAACACCACCAUCGGCGCGGUCGUCCCUGGCUCGUCGUCUCACGACGGCGGGCGGGGGCGGUUUAGCCCGAUGGCACCGGUGAAUGACUCCCCUA